UACAGAGGGUGCAAACGUUGUUCGGAAUUACUGGGCGUAAAGCGCGUGUAGGCGGCUCAGAAAGUCGGAUGUGAAAGCCCUGGGCUUAACCUAGGAAGUGCAUUCGAAACUUCUGAGCUGGAGUCCUGGAGAGGAAGGCGGAAUUCUCGGUGUAGAGGUGAAAUUCGUAGAUAUCGAGAGGAACACCGGUGGCGAAGGCGGCCUUCUGGACAGUGACUGACGCUGAGACGCGAAAGCGUGGGGAGCAAACAGG
rnacentral:rRNA from 1 species